GGGGUGGGGGUGGGGGUGGGGUUUCUUUCUCUUCUGAGCAUAGCUUGGUGUAUGAGAUCAUCAGGUCACCAUGGAACGGACAUGUUGUCAUAGGAUUUCGCUGAAAUCUCGCAGCUCUUGGAGAGCAUUGCUAUUUCCAAUCUGUUUUGUGGUGAUUCCUUAGAACCGUCAUAUCCAACAUCGACCACUGAAUGAAGCAGUAUUUCAUCAUGCAAAACCAUCCUGGCAAAGUUGUGGAUAGUGACCAUUGGCCUCUUGCUGGUCGUCGUCUGCUGGAUCAAGAUACCAAAACUGUAGACAGCCCAACUCCUUGAUGGCUCUGUUCCUGGUCCAUAUUCAGGCAUCUUUUAAGAAUUUGCAAGUAAGAAGAUUUUUUAUAAUUGCCCAUCUGAUGUUACUCUAGAAACCUCGAACUGUUGGGUAAAGAAAAGAAUGCUGUAACAUGAGGACUUAAGAUACCACAGUAUUUAGCAGGCUAAAUGUCAACUAGUCAAAUCAAACAAUUGUAUAUGGAAGCUUUAGACAGUUGCAGAAUCAUAAACAUUUUGAAAUUUGAGAAAUACCUCGUUAGUUAUAUGGUAUGUGUUAAUGCUA